rnacentral:lncRNA from 10 species
ACUGCGCGGCACCGGGACGCCCGCCCGGCUUCCCGCUCCCCGCCCUGGCCCGCGCCCCUCUCCCUCCUAGGAGCUGGAGACCUGCAGGCAGGGGCAGGGGACCCGGUCCUCUGCAGAACCCGAGCUCAGGGUUGCGUUAGACCCACUCCGGGGCGCACGGUCUUCAGCGGAGGGACGGCGGGGUGCGAAGGACCGAGGCGCCCCUGCUCGGGUGGCAGCCGAUCGCCGCCUCCCGCAUCCCCCGGCUGCCUCCCCCGUCCGGUCCUACCCUCCUCCCUGCCCGCGAAGGGAGAACAAUAACCCGAGCGCGCCUGGGAAGCGGAGACACUGGGAGGCGGGCAGACAAUGCGAGGGAGUUGCGAGGGGGCAGCCCCAGCGCACCGCGCGUUCUCGCUGUGUCCCAGCCGCGCCCGAGGGCUUGGCCUGGGGCAAGCGGGCCGCGGGGGCGCAGUAAGAGGCUACGUGGAAGAUAAUUUAGGUCUCUUGAAAUCUAAAAUCUCACAGCGUCUGUUCAAGGCCGGGGAGAAUUUCCUCCAGUCUAGAUAGAACAUCAGCAGUUGGUUAAAAUACACACAGACAUGUGUGUAUUUGGGUCCUUUUCUAUUUUGGAUCUGAAUCUCUAAAGUCACUUUUGGAAUUUCCAUAAGCCUGUCUUUUUGUAAACAGAUUUUUCUGGGAUUCCCCCACCCCGACUCCUGUCUUGCGCUGCUUGUUCUUCCAGCUUGACCCUGUCCAGGUAUCCCUCCCUCUCUCCCUCCCUCCUUCUUUUCCUCCUUCCCUCUCUCCCUACACACAUACAUUUGCCCCAGUUUGCACCUUUUUUUUUUUUUUUUUUUUUUUUGGUGCUGCAAUUCUUUCUCCCUUUUGAUUGGCGCUUUCUUUGGGUUCUUCUGCCCUUUUCGAAGUGCUGGUUUUAUUUCCAUCCCUCUCAUAAUUUGUUUUCUCCAAUUCAUUUCCUCUUUUUUUUUUUUGUCACAAGUAACUGUAUCUGCAUGAUUUUUUCUUCCUACUGCCAUAAGUUCUGUUCCCUUAAGGGCUCAAGCGUUCCUGGGGUAGGGAGGGGACAAGAGAAUUUCAUUGCAUUUUAUCUGAGGGAAAUAAUGUGUUGUAGUUCCACUUUCAGGGAGUCGGGGAUACUGGGAUUUUAUACUUACAUAUGGGUCAAACCGUCUUAGCUGAAUAAAUCACAAACCUCUGUAAUAUCUAGGGUGCUUGGGUGCUUGCUUACAAUAAAAAAGGCAUGCAGGAAAAGCGGCGGUGGGGGGGGAAGUAUUUUCAAAUUAGGUCUCUAAAUAGGGAUUUUACAACAUCCGUUUAUUAUUAUUAUCAUAUUAUUAUUAUUUAGAAAUGGGAUCUCACCAUGUUGCUCAGGCCGGUCUCCAACACCUGGCCUUAAGGGAGCCUCCCAACUUGGCCUCCCAAAAGUGCUGGUAUUACAGGUGUGAGCCAGCAUGCCACCCUCCACUUAUCUUAAAGUAAAAUUUUGAUUAUAUAGUAUGUGAAAGAGACUGGCAUCUUUCAUUCACCCAUGAAGUGCCAUCUCCUUGGUCUCAUUUUUUUGCAUUUGUCCUCAUCUGCGGAAUGUCUGGCCACUUUGCUGUUUCCUCUGGGUGUGGUUUAGAGUACAAAGUACAACCCUUUAUCAACCAAGCAAAUCAGAAAUAGCUCCUAGAUGUGGGACGUGAGAAAAAAAUCAGGCAAAAGAAUGGUUAACAUUUUAACAAAAAGCAUGCUGUUUGUGGCUGAAAUAUUUGGAGGUAAGAAGGUGUGUGAGUGGUC